rnacentral:lncRNA from 1 species
CUUCUAUUAAGCACUAAGUUCCAGUAGGCAAUGGCCAUUUCUAGAUCUAAUCCUUUUUGUCUUGGAUUCUUUGCAAAAUUAAAAGUAAACUGGUAAAAAUCCUUAAAUUGUCCUGGUUCUUUCAAUUCUUGUUACAUCUUGGGUAUCUGGGCCUUUAGUUUUUCUAUGCUGUCACAUCCUAAUUCUGUCAUGCCAUCCAUGAACUCCUGUUUGGAGAACUCACACUGUAUUGCUGCUCUGA